AUGACUUCCCCUUCCACCAACUCAUCCACCACUGGUGCGCAACUUGGGCAGACGUCCGGCGCCAUCACUUCCACCUUCGCCGGCGCCAUGGCAUCGCCCUCUGUAUCCGUCCCCAACUUCGCCCAGCUGGUCACCGGCAAGCUCGCCGGCGCCACGUACCUGCUAUGGAGGGCGCAGAUCGUUCUGAUCUUGCGAGGCCAUCAUCUGUUUGGCUUCGUCGACGGGUCUUCGGUUGCUCCCCCCAGGCGUGUGCCGGCAUCAUCUGACGCCAACGCCGAGCUGGUUGAUAACCCAGCCCAUGGCGUCUGGGCUGCACAGGAGGCGCUCGUUCUCUCGGGCCUCCUGUCGACACUCGCUCCUGAAGUGCUAGCGAGGGUGGCGCUGCACACCUCACCGGCCACCGUCUGGGCGACGCUGGAGCGGAUGUUUGCCUCGCACUCCAAGGCGAGGAUCAUGCAGCUGCGUAAGCAGUUGGCCACCAUCCAGAAGAAGGACCUGACGGUGACGGAGUAUUUUGGCCGCGUCAAGACUCUCUCCGACAUGCUCGCCUCCGCCGGCCGCCCCGUCGGAGACGACGACCUCGUCACGUAUCUGCUCAUAGGGCUGGACAAUUCCUAUGAUCCGCUCGUUACGUCGGUCACCACUCAGGCGGGGGAUGUCACCGUCGACGACCUCUUCGCACACAUGCUCGACUUCGAGCUCCGCCGGGAAGGCAGUGGAGGCGGCUACAACAUCUCUGCCAACAGCGCUAGCCGUGGCGGUGGUGGAAACCGCGGUCAGUACCGCGGCAAUGGCAGCAACGGGGGCGGCGGCAAUGGCAACGGCAACGGUGGCAGCCGUGGCUACAACAACCAAGGCAAGAAGCAGCAGCAGUCACGCAGCUCCAACAACGGCAGCAACUCCCGCAGCAGCGGCGGUGGCGGCGGCGGCUACCCCGGCCCGGGCGGCGGCGGCUUCAACAACUCUGGCCCGCCCAAGGUGCGGUGCCAAAUCUGCAGCAAGGUGGGGCACGAGGCGCUAAACUGCUACAACCGCUUCAAUCAGAACUACCAGAUGGAAGAACCUCGCGCCGCCCACAUCUCCACGUCGCAGAACGUCGACCCCGUGUGGUACUUGGACACCGGAGCCACGGAGCACAUCACGGCGGACCUCGACAAGUUGAACAUCCGCGAGCCCUACACCGGCAAGGAUCAGGUGCACACAGCUAGCGGAUCAGGAUCGGGCUACGAGGAAGUUUCUUCAUCAAGGACCCAGUGA
rnacentral:rRNA from 1 species